rnacentral:rRNA from 1 species
UGAGGAAUAUUGGUCAAUGGGCGGGAGCCUGAACCAGCCAAGCCGCGUGGGCGAAGAAGGCCCUAUGGGUCGUAAAGUCCUUUUGUCAGGGAACAAAAGCGGGUAUGUGUACCAGUCUGAGUGUACCUGAAGAAAAAGCAUCGGCUAACUCCGUGCCAGCAGCCGCGGUAAUACGGAGGAUGCGAGCGUUAUCCGGAUUUAUUGGGUUUAAAGGGUGCGUAGGCGGCAUGUCAAGUCAGCGGUAAAAGCCCGGGGCUCAACCCGCCCGCCCGUGAAUCUAGAUGAGCUAGAGACGCGGAGAGGUAGGCGGAAUGCGCAGUGUAGCGGUGAAAAUGCAUAGAUAUUGCGCAGAACUCCGAUUGCGAAGGCAGCCUACUGGUCGCGGACUGACGCUGAGGCACGAAAGCGUGGGGAUCGAACAGGAUUAGAUACC